AAUUCUAAGAACGCAUCUGACCGAGAACAGAAGUAAUGCCCGGAUGUGUUUUCGCUCUGCCCACAUCAUCAAGACUGCAUCGGACCGGACUUAUGUGGACUUGGGGUGGCCAAAUAACCCAUAAUGCAUUUCGGGCCGACCAGCGCAAAAAGCCCUGAGGGUUCUGAGGAGGAAACUUUCAGAGGAACAUCUGAAGAAAUCCAGAUCCUCACUGACUGCUGAGAAACUCCACAGACAGAACAUCAGCAGCUCCAUCUUCAGCAUCUGGACCAGCAGGAUGCUGUUCUUGGAAACUAAAGGAGAUAAAUGCUGAAUUGCAUUUAAGCAUUUUGCAAUUAAAUAUUAUUCAACUGUGUUCAAAAAAUUAAUUGAAUUGUUGAAGCCAGAAGUAAAUCUUUCUCUAACAUUAGACCUGUUUGAUCAGAUGCUGCUGAUGUUUUAAAAGUUUUCUGUUUUAUUACCUGACAGGCAGAAGAAGAGCUCACCUGUAGGAGCUCACCUGUAUUCAGGUUCUCAGUAAAGUAGUUGACAUGAAAUAUUCUCUCAUUAAUUACUGAUGAUGUUCAGCAUACAGAAGUCCUGGUGAUCACAUUAAAGUGUAGUACUGUUUGUGUGUCUGUUAGACUAUAAACCUCUGGAUGUUUGAUGGCAAACAGCAGCUCUGUAUGUAGAAUGUAGACUCAUGUAUUUUAGUAAUGUUGAUAAUAAAACUGUAAACCAUC